AAUUCUUAUAAGUCAAAACAAAAAUAAUCAAAACUUUUAACAAUGGAUCUCUUGGUUCUCGUAUCGAUGAAGAACGCAGCGAAACGCGAUAUUUCUUGUGAAUUGCAGAAGUGAAUCAUCAGUUUUUGAACGCACAUUGCACUUUGGGGUAUCCCCCAAAGUAUACUUGUUUGAGCGUUGUUUCUCUCUUGGAAUUGCAUUGCUUUUCUAAAAAUUCGAAUCAAAUUCGUUUGAAAAACAACACUAUUCAACCUCAGAUCAAGUAGGAUUACCCGCUGAACUUAAGCAUAUCAAUAAGCGGAGGAAAAGGAUCAUUAAGAAUUAUAAAUAUUUGUGAAAUUUACACAGCAAACAAUAAUUUUAUAGUCAAAACAAAAAUAAUCAAAACUUUUAACAAUGGAUCUCUUGGUUCUCGUAUCGAUGAAGAACGCAGCGAAACGCGAUAUUUCUUGUGAAUUGCAGAAGUGAAUCAUCAGUUUUUGAACGCACAUUGCACUUUGGGGUAUCCCCCAAAGUAUACUUGUUUGAGCGUUGUUUCUCUCUUGGAAUUGCAUUGCUUUUCUAAAAUAUCGAAUCAAAUUCGUUUGA
rnacentral:rRNA from 1 species